rnacentral:rRNA from 1 species
UACGUAGGGUCCGAGCGUUGUCCGGAAUUACUGGGCGUAAAGAGCUCGUAGGUGGUUUGUCGCGUUGUUCGUGAAAACUCACAGCUUAACUGUGGGCGUGCGGGCGAUACGGGCAGACUUGAGUACUGCAGGGGAGACUGGAAUUCCUGGUGUAGCGGUGGAAUGCGCAGAUAUCGGGAAGAACACCCGUGGCGAAGGCGGCUCUCUGGGACGGUACUGACGCUGAGACGCGAAAGCGUGGGGAGCGAACAGG